GGGAAUCUUCCACAAUGGGCGAAAGCCUGAUGGAGCAACGCCGCGUGGGUGAAGAAGGUCUUCGGAUCGUAAAACCCUGUUGUUAGAGAAGAACAAGUGGGAGAGUAACUGUUCCCACCUUGACGGUAUCUAACCAGAAAGCCACGGCUAACUACGUGCCAGCAGCCGCGGUAAUACGUAGGUGGCUAGCGUUAUUCGGAAUUACUGGGCGUAAAGGGAACGCAGGCGGUCUUUUAAGUCUGAUGUGAAAGCCUUCGGCUUAACCGGAGUAGUGCAUUGGAAACUGGGAGACUUGAGUGCAGAAGAGGAGAGUGGAACUCCAUGUGUAGCGGUGAAAUGCGUAGAUAUAUGGAAGAACACCAGUGGCGAAAGCGGCUCUCUGGUCUGUAACUGACGCUGAGGUUCGAAAGCGUGGGUAGCA
rnacentral:rRNA from 1 species